rnacentral:misc_RNA from 1 species
ACACCUCAACCCUCCAAUGUUUUUGCAUUGAAGGUGUUGGUAGUGAGCGCUGCCGGACUUUUGGUCGGCUCGCUUUAAAAUCAUUAGCUGGAUCCAUUCUGACAUGGUUCUGCUCGGCGUAAUAAGUUAUUAUCGUCGAGGACGCUUGUCUUUCUAGACAGGCGGCUACAGUAAGGGUGUUUGAACCGCUUCCAACACGUCUUGCUCUUGUAGCAAACACUUGAAC